UGUUUUCCUUUUUGGAUUUAUUUGCCCCUCUUCUUCCCCCGACCUCACACACACCCCACACCUCCGCACCUACCCCUCCCCCUACACACGUGCUCACAACUCCAUUUGUUGUUCAUCUCUUCAGUUUCUGUUUUGUAUUUGGAUUCCUCCCUCGCAGUUUCUCUCUUCCUUCAGACGUCCCUGUCUCUCCUCUCGCUGGCUUUCUCACACACACGCACGCACGCGCAGAGAGAGAGGAGAUUGCUAAUAUCCCCCACCCUUUCCGUCUUGUCCUUUUUUUCUGUGGUUCCUCCAUCCCCGUUCUUGCUUAAAUCUCUCUCUCGUGCUCUCUCGCCUCUCUCGCUCUCGCUCUCAUCGAUCCAGUCGCCCCCUCCCUCCCCACCCCUCUCUCACUCUGUGCUCGUUCUCUCUUCCCCCUUUUUCCUCUCUCUUUCCUCUCCGCGCGUCUGAUCUGCAGUACAUACACACCUACUCCUCCACCCUUCCAAACACGCACCGACGCAACCUCACACCCAUCUCUUUCUGUUUGCAUACAUACAACACACAGACAGACAGACACGCACACAACUGCGUUCUCUUUCUCGAUAUCCACUCCGUCCCCUUCCUCUUCCACACGUGCGACUCCUCGAUAUACCUUCAACAGGUAUAUACCCACCAGGCCGCUACUCGGGGACCCAGUAGCAUCAGUAGAGGACAAACAGACAAGCCAAGGAGAAGCAGUUUCACAACUCGAAAAGAUGGGCAUUCCACUUCCGAAGCCGGUGAUGACGCAGCUCCAGGAGCGUUACGGAAACGCCAUCUUCCGCUGCGGCUCCAACUGCGUGAAUGGGUACCGUGAGACCAUGGAGGAUGCCCAUCUGACGUACCUGACGGAUAGCUGGGGUUUCUUCGGCGUCUUCGACGGCCAUGUGAAUGACCAGUGUUCGCAGUACCUCGAGAGGGCAUGGCGCAGCGCCAUUGAGAAGGAAUCGAUCCCCAUGACGGAUGAGCGGAUGAAGGAGUUGGCACUGCGGAUCGACCAGGAGUGGAUGGACUCGGGCCGCGAGGGCGGCAGCACGGGCACCUUCUUUGUAGCCCUCAAGGAGGGCAACAAGGUGCACCUGCAGGUUGGUAACGUCGGUGACUCGCGUGUGGUGGCCUGCAUCGAUGGCGUGUGCGUCCCUCUGACGGAGGACCACAAGCCAAAUAAUGAAGGGGAGCGCCAGCGCAUUGAAAACUGCGCGGGCCGUGUGGAGAACAACCGCGUCGAUGGCAGCCUGGCCGUCAGUCGCGCUUUCGGCGACCGCGAGUACAAGCUAGGCAGUGGUAGUCAGCUGGAGCAGAAGGUGAUCGCCUUAGCAGAUGUCCAGCACAAGGAUUUCACCUUCGACUCGAACGACUUUGUGCUGCUGUGCUGCGACGGCGUCUUCGAGGGCAACUUCCCGAACGAGGAGGUGGUGGCCUACGUGAAGCAGCAGCUGGAGACCUGCAACGACCUCGCCGAGGUGGCCGGGCGUGUGUGCGAGGAGGCGAUCGAGCGCGGCAGCCGUGACAACAUCUCGUGCAUGAUCGUGCAGUUUAAGGACGGCAGCGACUACGCUGCUGAGCCGCACACCACCGUUGUGCCCGGGCCGUUUAGCGCACCGCGCAACAGCGGCUUCCGUAAGGCGUACGAGUCAAUGGCAGACAAAGGCAACACCACCGUCGGCGCCCUCCUAGAAAAGCGCUACGACACCCUCAAGGCCGCCGAAGCCCUCACGCCGGAAGAAACGGAAGAGCUGAGCCAGUUUGAGAACGGCCCAGAGGCGAAGCUCACAGGCGCCGAACGCCAGAAGUGGUUCUCGAACUACUUCCAGAAGCUGUGCGAGGCAGCAUCGAACGGGCCAAGUGACCAGAUGGAGCGCCUGCAGUCGCUGCAGCAGCAGGCCGGCAUUCCGCUCUCUAUCCUGCUGUCCUUGAUGGGUGAGCAGACGCAGUGAACAACGCAAGAAAAUAGGGGAAAAACGCAACACUGAAAGGAGCACCAAAGCGAAAUGCAAGAGAAGUGAAAAGGCGGCGAAGUGGAGGAGGGAGGGGAGGGAGAGGGAGGGGCGAAGAAAUGAGCUGAGGCGGAGCGAAAAGUCGAGAAGGGUGGAGGCGCAAGUGAGCCAGUGCCGUGUGCUCUGACGAGGUCCUCCCCUUCACACACCCCACUUGACCCCUCCCCCUCUCACAUACUAUGACCGUCUUCCUCUCCCGCCCUUUUACUGGCAGGGUACCCUUUUUUUGGAAGAGGUCGAAGAACAGUCAAGGACAGAACACCACAGUCGAGGAAAAGGGGGUGAUCACGACACACAUAUAUACCCGUAUAGACACACACACACACACGUGAGAUGGGUUGCGUGAUGAUGUCAGAGCUUAUGGUGUGUGUGUGUGUUUGUGGGCGGGUGCGGAGUGCCGGUGCCCUCCGAGGGCGAAGGGGAAUUCCCUCCUCUUCCCCACUCCCUCUCGCAUUCCAAGUAGUGCUGGAGCGGAUUUGGGAGGGUGAGAGCAAGGAAAAAAAAAAACAGCUGCAAGGAGGGCGAAUGCUGAAAGGGCGUUCUGCGUGUGGCCACAGGCGUCAAGGAGCUCCAUCGAGAGUGGCUGGGGAGCACUCGACAAGUGGUGAGAGGCAGAAGGGGAUCAAAGGAGUUGUGCCAGAGGAGACGAGAAAAAUGCUAGGAAGAGGGGAAGGAGUGGGCGAAGGACGAGAACAGAGAGGGAGAUGGAAAUUCCGCAUACUGUAAGAUCGAAAAGUAGAAAGGAUGCGAAAGGGUGAGCGGGAGAAGCACACAGGCCAUUGGGAUGAGUCACACAGUACAUGCGACUCGUCAGUGAAGGGCGCCGUUCUUUAUGCGUUCCACCACCACCCCUUAUCUCUCUCUCUCUGCAUCGCGUCCUUCUGUGGCACAACCCACACACCAGCAAAAGAAGAUAGACCACUUGCACGCGUUGCUCGAUCACCAAUGUUUUUCGCUUUACUUUUUUUUUGCUUCUUCCCCCCUCCCCCUGCGUGUUUUCUGUCUUGUAUUUCUUUCCUCUCCGUUUGCUUUCGUUCUUGUGGCGCGAUUGGUGCGUGUGUGUGUGUGUGCAUGCGUGUGUGUGCAAGGGCAACACCCACCCUUCCUGGAGGAGGACGAGAGCGAAAGAGGGCAACAGAGCGAGAAGUAAGCGAAAAAAAAAACGAAAGAGAACGUAUGCUACGCUUGGAUUCUUGUCCCUGCCCCCUUCCCCUCUCUCUCGCUCUCGCUCUCUUUCAAUUGUUGUACUGCUGAUCGGUGAGCGAGUCUCGAUCCGCCGUCUCCCGUUUUGAAGCGCUCUCCUUUCGUUCCCUUGCAUCCGCUCUUCGUCAGGUGACACACACACACACCGAUACACACACGCAGGCGAAAAGCACACCGACACGCUUGCAUGCGCGCGCGAAACGAGAAAAAAAGGAGAACAUGAAAACAAAGGGAAACACGGGAUGUAUGCCAUGUAUGUAGAAUGAAAUGUAUGCGUAUCGCCGCUGUGUUGUUGUCUGUGUGUCUGUGCGUGCAUCCCUCUUCCCCCUCCCCUCGCUCCACGCGGCCCCAGCCCCUUUCUGUAACCUCCCCCCGUUGUCUUUGAAAGUCUCUCUAUGUGUUCGUGCUUUUGCUGUGCUGGCGUUUCGUGCGUUGUUUCACGUGGUGCGCUGCGCUAGCAUACACCCACACACCCAUGCAACCCCCUCCCCCGUGUCCCUCUCUCCCUUUCGCAUCCUUCUCCUACGCCCACCGCUUGCCGUCUCCGGCGUGCUACGCGCUCUACGAUGGCGGCGACACGGUGCCAUCACUGUCCCCCUUUUUCCUUUUCUGUACUGCAUCUCUGCCACCGUUUGUUCUUGUUGCGUCUUCAGCCGCCUCCGACAUGCUAAGUAGGCUCUCAUCCCUUCUCUGCUUCCUUUUCCUUUCUCCUCCACAUCUCAGAAGUAUGAUGACGGCAGAGAGGGCGGAGCAGGGGAAGGUCGUUCAAGAUUAGCACUCACCACCCCACCCCUCCUCCGCGACGGAUCGAGAAACAGAAGACACAUCAUCACCAAAAGGGAGCUCCAAGAAACAGAGAGAAGAAGAGUGCGUGUGUGUGUCUCACUGUUGAUGUCGGCUUCGAUCUUACGCUGUCUGUCUGCCUAUCGGUGUAUGUGCGUCUGCGUCUGAACGGGAGCCCUCUUCACGACCCCGCCCAUUUUUAUUUUCGUCCCUUUUCGUUGUUCCCGUGUCUCGAACGUUGCCCGCUGCUUGCAUGCUGCCCCUUUUGUGAUUGCUUCUGCGGUGCCUUUGCUCGCGUGCGGAGGUCGUCACUCGUCUCUUGGUGGAGUCCUCUAUUUCUUUUUUUCGUGUCUUUCCUAUUGGUGAGCCCCACGUUUUACAGCCGCUCCACCGGUACAUAUGUCCCAUGAGCCCCCCACCCCCACCCCCUUCCUCCUCUCUCUGAAUAUGUGUGAGAAAUUGUGUGUAAGAGGAGGGAGGGAGGGAGGGAGGGAGGGAGAGGGGGGCGUGUCCUGAUGGCUGUCUGCGUGUCAAGCGCGUCGGCAGCUGUUUUUGUUGUUUGUUUUUCCUCACUCCUUUGUAUGUGGUCUGUUUUGUAUUACCUUCCCGUUCGAAUCUCUCCCUGUGCGUGUGUGUUGCCUGCGCUUGUGUGUCGUCUGUGUGCGCGCACUUUUCGAUUUUUUUAUUAUUCCCUUUUGGUGCCCUCGUUGUAGUAGUGUAGCGUGUGUGUGUGAGAGGAGGAGUAGUGGCGAGGAGAGAAGCCGCUGGAGGCACGAGAUGCCACGGCAAACACGCCUCCACCGCACACCCACACACAUACACGCGUAAAUGCCAAUGUGAGGGGGCGAGGAAAGGAGGGAACUGUGCGCGCGAGAUGGAAAAAAAAGAGGGACAGUGAGGGGAAAAAAGGGGGACGGAUCGAGUGUGAUCAGACGGCGUCAUGCUUGCAUCACAUCAGCACGUCGCCUGUCCGAUAUCUUUCCCCGUUUUUCAAGCGCCCUGUCUCCUUUCUCGGUGUGCUCUGUGUGUUCUUCGUCUUGUAGCGCAAGUCUCUCUCUCUUUCUCUCCUCUGCGGUACACGCUCCCGUCUCCCACGACAUGUCUGCACCCCCUCACCUCCCCCUCCGGUAUGUAUGUAUGCAUGUGGGCGUUGAUGUGGCCCUCUUCUCUUCCCUUUGCUCUCCAGCCUUGCGUCUUGCUACUGUCAUGUGCCUGUCUUGUCCUUCUUGUGUAUGCGCACGUGUGUGUGUGUGUGUGUGUUUGUGUCAGUGAAGAAACCCCGCCUGUUG
rnacentral:misc_RNA from 1 species